GUAUUAAAGGUCCUGCCUGCCCAGUGAACUAGUUUUAAACGGCCGCGGUAUCCUAACCGUGCAAAGGUAGCGUAAUCACUUGUUCUUUAAUUGAGGACUAGUAUGAACGGCCAUAUGAGGGCCUAACUGUCUCCUAUAGCCAAUCAAUGAACCUGAUCCCCCAGUACAAAAGCUGGAACACCCACAUAAGACGAGAAGACCCUGUGGAGCUUCAAACAAACCCUAAGCCCCACUAAACCCAACAGGCAUAACACACAGGUGUGAUUAGAUAAGUUUUCAGUUGGGGCGACUGUGGGGUAAAAUAAAACCCCCACGAAACAAAAACAUGUAUCGGUGGACACACCUCCUACAAAAAUAAUGACCCAGUAUUACUGAUCAACGAACCAAGUUACCCCAGGGAUAACAGCGCCAUCCCCUUUAAGAGUCCUUAUCACCAAGGGGGUUUACGACCUCGAUGUUGGAUCAGGACAUCCAGGUGGUGUAGCCGCUACCAAGGGUUCGUUUGUUCAACGAUUAAUAGUCCU
rnacentral:rRNA from 1 species